GAUGAAGAACGCAGCGAAAUGCGAUAAGUAAUGCGAAUUGCAGAAUUCCAGUGAGUCAUCGAAUCUUUGAACGCACAUUGCGCCCUUUGGUAUUCCGAAGGGCAUGCCUGUUCGAGCGUCAUUAUCACCCCUCAAGCCCUCGGCUUGGUGUUGGACGGUUUGGUGGAGGCCCCCUCGGGGGUUCCUGCCCCUCCCAAAGACAAUGACGGCGGCCUCGUUGGACCCCCGGUACACUGAGUUCUUCACGGGACACGUAUCGGACACAUGGGUUUACGGGACACGGUCUGCCUCCCCUCAGGGAGAAUCUUUCUAAGGUUGACCUCGGAUCAGGUAGGGAUACCCGCUGAACUUAAGCAUAUCGAUAAGCGGAGGA
rnacentral:misc_RNA from 1 species